CGAGGCCAUAGCCAAGUCGGCUAAGACAGAAACCGUGCUGCUGCGAUCCAAUUCCACGGCCAUGGCCACAGCGAUGGCUAUGGCAUUGGCUAUGGCGUGCGGGAGCAGGAGAAGGUGGAGGAGACCUCGACACUGAGCAGAAGCGCCAAUGUUGCAUGCAUCUCGUCGUGGCCUCGGCUUCUUCGCGUGAGUGAUGGAGGUUUAGGAGCAUCUGUCCGCUGCUUGCAUUGACCUGAUAGAGGAGCUCGGGUCGAAUUUUUCAUAAAAUGCAAUCUGUCAUGUACGAGGAUCCCGAAGUGCAAUCUGUCAAUGCAGUAUCUAACACCUUCAAACAAACUAAGUGAAGGUUUCUAAUUUUGCAUGUUUCGAUUGGUUUGUGGUUACUUAAUGAUAGUGAACUACGAUGCGUGUCCUCUCCCUGCAUCAGCAAAAAAGAAAAAAAAAAAUGGUAGCCGGGAGGCCAAGGUGGUCAAGUUCUGCAGUGUUUUUUUCUUAUUUGAACUAGGAGGGAAGGCGUAUGUCGUACACAAGGAUGUUACUUAGUGGUAACAGUUUCAGCUCUUCAUGAAUUCUGAACUCCAAUUUGGGCGAGAAGUUUGAAAGCUAUAGAGUUGGAAAUCCAUGGUGCACAAGGAUUGAAUCUUACAUAGCAGGUCUCUGUACACUGGUGCCUUUAUUCACCUUUUUUUCUAAGACUUCUUCAAUAUGUAAUCCUGAAGUAAUGCACGUACUCCAGCAUGGAGCACGAAGGAUGCCAGUUACCGAAUGUGCAAGUUGUGCAUGCUAGGAAGCUGUCUAAAUAUUGCUCAUGUAUUGUCAAAGCUUAAGGGUUUGCAUUUGAUUGCAUAUUAGUCGAUUCUUCAGUUCUCAGUACAGCUUACUUUUCAGUUUUUAAGUCCUUCACAUUUAGAAGACUGUCGAUAUUAUUGUGCGAAUUUAGUGCCUACAAGAAAUCCUGCUUGAAAAAUUGGUUCCUUAUAUUAAGCAGUUAACCUUCAGUGUGGAUGAAGUUCAAAGAUUCAAGCUUGCUCAAGAGAUUUACUAAGAUUUAAGAGAAAAAAGGGUCUUAGAUUUUAAGUGUGCUGAACGACAAUGAGAACGAUGGUGUCUAGAAUGAAAGACAAUCUCCUGCAAUUUCUUGUGACGUUUCUGUGAAAAACAUAAACGCGUAGUAGUAUGUUUUAGAAAUUUUCUGUCUGUUGCGAUGAUGGAAAAGUGCUCACAAAUAGUGGGUCUUACAAACAGGUGUUGGUUAGUAACCCUUGACGAGGAUUCGUGUGCCUUUUAUUCAAAAAUGCCUGGAUGUAAACAUUGCUAUCAGUACUUAAGGUAGAUGGACUGCAUUGCAGUGAUUUGGACAUACUGGAAAGGUUUGAACUGGAAAACUUUGGAUUUAUUCCGCUUCUUACGGAUUUCAUCUACAUUGUGUAGGGCUAUCUCGAGAGAAAUUUGAAAACUGGAGAUCUACAACCAUUUGAAAAUUUUCAAGUCAGCUCAGCUGCUGAAGUAUUAAAUUAUAGACAGGUUCCCACGAUUGGGAAGGAAUCGUUUUAUAUCCGACUUGCUCAUUAGUUCCAGCUCAAUUUUGGGUUUAGCACCUGCAUCGAAGGGGGAAUUAUUUCCGAUAAAUCUUAUACUUCAGACUUGUUUUUCUUGUGCUGCUCUUGGUGGGAUUGUAGGUGCUCAAAGCCCAAGUUCAAGUUUUAGGGAAAAGGUAUGCAGAUGUCCAUUCUAAAGACGCUGUAGAGGAGAAGUAUGUGGAAGAGGUCUCUUUUUGCAAUGUAUUCAUGGUUGACGAUUGAAAAUUUAUAACAGAAUCACUUUUAAUUUCUUGCAAAAUAUACAUUACAAUGUAAUUGUUGUGGUGUUAUGUGAUCUGGCCGGUUCAGGUGAUCGAUCUGAUUAUGCAAAUCCAAAAAGUUGUUGCUUUUUUAAUCCUUUUCAGCGGAUCUUCAAUCUGAAGGGAUGUUUUGGUUUGAUCAAACAUAACACUUUUGUUGGACAAAGCUCUCUCAACUCCAGAAUUGGCUGGAACAAUCAGUCCUGGAAUUAUAAGAAAGAGCCUAAUCCAAUUAGCACGCAGCCACGAUUAUGCGAUAUUUGCUUCAACAAGUGUGUGAUUUGAUUAUCAUAUAUGCUGGUUACCUAUGUCAACUAUGCAGCUUGCGUGCAUGGAUGGAUUUAUCAAAAUAAGUAAAAAAUAACUGUCUCCAUGCUGCCCACUUGCUGUGGACUGCAAUACAUACUUGGAAGCUUGCACAAAGAUGGGAGGCCGUCGAGAGCCUUCUUUUUUAUCCUCAAACUAAUUUUCAAUUUUCCCAGGUCAAUGAGCGAGCAGGGACUGGAUGAUCUACUAGCUGCUGAUGAGGUGUUCUGCACUGGAACUGCUGAACCCUAAAUCGCCAUGGGAAACCAUCACAUUCGGCACAAGCUGGCAGCGCCAAUAUUGCCUCAAAUGUGAUUUUGUUUCUUAUAGUUUUACACUACUGCGCUUAUUAUUAUGCAAGGGAGGUUACGUGAAUCGUUGUGGCAGAGGGAUGCCAUUGUCCCCUCCUUGUGUCAAUUUGUGAAUGAAUCAAGCUAAUUAUGAUCAUAGCGUUUCUGAUUUGUCCAUUCUGUUCUUCAGGGUUCUUUGUUUUUUAUUUUUCGCCACAAGCAAAGCUUUGUUAUUUGACUUGAGUUCGCAAUGCAGAAUGAAAUUGUACAUUUCUGUAGCAGCGCUUCUAUUCUCAGCUUGUGAAAGCUGCAAGUGGAGCCCAUGUGUAAUCUUUGGUGGUAUUUUAAGAAAAGAAAUCCUCGUCAGCCCACUAUUUCUAGCUCACUGGUACUUGAGUUUUCCCACAAAAAUUGAAUACUUUAAGUUCUGGAUGGCCUAACACAAGUAGGGUGAUAGGCCUUUCAAUUGCAAGCACCUGAAGACCGCCUUAUGGUGUACCGGAAGCAGAUUACAUUUCGACAGGGUAGACGAUUCCCGCAUGUGCUUUAUGGACGUGUAAUUGGGAGAUUGAAACUGGAAUUGGGAGUACUGAAAGUUUCAUCCCUCUAUGUGAACACAUCCCCUCACUCAUGGGCAUGCGCAUGAAGGCAGCAGGUCCUUAAACGUAUUCCAACACUGAAACGAAGCAAGUUCUGUGGUUUAGGAUGCAGUAUUUCUCAGCCUGGGCGAAAGGUAUAUCAUCAGUCUUCAGGCUCUUGUGAGUGUUGAGACAGUCGGCCGCCAGGGCAGUACUACUACAGUGGCCUCUGCUGCUAGUGUCCGGCAUUAGUUCUAUGUGACCCUCCUCUACAAUUCUUUUAUUUUUAUUUCUUAUUUCUUUUAAAAUGAGCCUUUCUAUGAGCUCAACAAGUGGGUUGAGGUGGAUGAAAUAGAUGAAUGGGUUACAUGGGAUGGUCAAUUCUAUGCAGCCAAGCUGGCCCUACUGAAGACCACCACCAGUACUUGAAGUUCACAGAAGGCCACAUGUGAGCUUAUGGGCAUAGUUCCAGCUUUGCACCUGCUAUACAUGGUUCUGCAAUGGUCAGGCUUUUUUCUUUCUUCACCCUCUUAGCCAUGCAUACUAGCUCCGAGAUGAUGUAGGCUUUGGGGCCUCCAGUUCAGCAUAUGCCACAAGUAUAUAGAUUAUUUUUAUACAAUUAAAAAUGUGUUUCCCCUUCCCACAGAUGGAUGAAAUACUACUGCAUGGAAACUAUUUGAGAACA